rnacentral:rRNA from 1 species
AGAGUUUGAUCCUGGCUCAGGAUGAACGCUGGCGGCGUGCCUAACACAUGCAAGUCGAACGAAGCUUGACGGAUGAUUUCUUCGGAAUGAAACCAGAUAUGACUUAGUGGCGGACGGGUGAGUAACACGUGAGCAACCUGCCUUUCAGAGGGGGAUAACGGCUGGAAACGGUCGCUAAUACCGCAUGACGUGUUCGGAUGGCAUCAUCUGAACAUCAAAGAUUUAUCGCUGAAAGAUGGGCUCGCGUCUGAUUAGAUAGUUGGUGGGGUAACGGCCUACCAAGUCUACGAUCAGUAGCCGGACUGAGAGGUUGAACGGCCACAUUGGGACUGAGAUACGGCCCAGACUCCUACGGGAGGCAGCAGUGGGGAAUAUUGCACAAUGGGGGAAACCCUGAUGCAGCAACGCCGCGUGAAGGAUGACGGUUUUCGGAUUGUAAACUUCUUUUCUUAGUGACGAAGACAGUGACGGUAGCUAAGGAAUAAGCAUCGGCUAACUACGUGCCAGCAGCCGCGGUAAUACGUAGGAUGCAAGCGUUAUCCGGAUUUACUGGGUGUAAAGGGAGCGCAGGCGGGACUGCAAGUUGGAUGUGAAAUACCGUGGCUUAACCACGGAACUGCAUCCAAAACUGUAGUUCUUGAGUGAAGUAGAGGCAAGCGGAAUUCCGAGUGUAGCGGUGAAAUGCGUAGAUAUUCGGAGGAACACCAGUGGCGAAGGCGGCUUGCUGGGCUUUAACUGACGCUGAGGCUCGAAAGUGUGGGGAGCAAACAGGAUUAGAUACCCUGGUAGUCCACACUGUAAACGAUGAUUACUAGGUGUUGGAGGAUUGACCCCUUCAGUGCCGCAGUU